UACGUAGGGCGCAAGCGUUGUCCGGAAUUAUUGGGCGUAAAGAGCUCGUAGGCGGUCUGUCGCGUCUGCCGUGAAAACCCAUGGCUUAACUGUGGGCUUGCGGUGGAUACGUGCGGACUUGAGUGCGGAAGAGGGUCGUGGAAUUCCCAGUGUAGAGGUGAAAUUCGUAGAUAUUGGGAAGAACACCGGUGGCGAAGGCGGCGACCUGGUCCGAUACUGACGCUGAGGCGCGAAAGCGUGGGGAGCAAACAGG
rnacentral:rRNA from 1 species